UUUGAACGCACCUUGCGCCCCUUGGCUAUUCCGAGGGGGCAUGCCUGUUUGAGUAUCAUGAACACCUCAACUCUCAUGGUUCGCCGUGACGAGCUUGGACUCUUGGGGGGUAUUGCUGGCCUGCGGUCAGCUCCUCUCAAACGAAUCAGCUCUCCAGUGUUUGGUGGCGUCACGGGUGUGAUAACUAUCUACGCUUGUGGUGUUCUGCCAGGCAACCUUCAGUGAUGGAGGUUCGCUGGAGCUCAUAAAUGUCUCUCCUCAGCGAGGACAGCCUUUUGAAUGUUUGAUCUCAAAUCAGGUAGGACUACCCGCUGAACUUAAGCAUAUCAAUAAGCGGAGG
rnacentral:rRNA from 1 species